rnacentral:rRNA from 1 species
AUUGAACGCUGGCGGCAGGCCUAACACAUGCAAGUCGAGCGGAUGAAGGGAGCUUGCUCCUGGAUUCAGCGGCGGACGGGUGAGUAAUGCCUAGGAAUCUGCCUGGUAGUGGGGGAUAACGUCCGGAAACGGGCGCUAAUACCGCAUACGUCCUGAGGGAGACAGUGGGGGAUCUUCGGACCUCACGCUAUCAGAUGAGCCUAGGUCGGAUUAGCUAGUUGGUGGGGUAAAGGCCUACCAAGGCGACGAUCCGUAACUGGUCUGAGAGGAUGAUCAGUCACACUGGAACUGAGACACGGUCCAGACUCCUGCGGGAGGCAGCAGUGGGGAAUAUUGGACAAUGGGCGAAAGCCUGAUCCAGCCAUGCCGCGUGUGUGAAGAAGGUCUUCGGAUUGUAAAGCACUUUAAGUUGGGAGGAAGGGCAGUAAGUUAAUACCUUGCUGUUUUGACGUUACCAACAGAAUAAGCACCGGCUAACUUCGUG